UAGCUAAGUCGCUUAAAUCGCUUAAACCUAGCCAAAGAGGCCAACUUCCGCUUGCUUCCCCCAUUUAUCAGCCUAAAAUACCUGAACCACCUUCAAACUCAUCGAUUGCCUCGUUUUCACAGAAACACAGUCUUUUCUAUGGGUCCACCUGCGUAGGCUACGUGAGAAAAGUAACGUUGAAUGGUAAGAAAAUAUCGUACGGUCAGAAAGAUCGGACGGUUGGAGCGAAAGAGGAAACUGUUCUCUGGAUUAUCCUUGAAACGUAAUGGAACGUUUCGCAAGAAACACGUUUUCUGCGAAUCGCACGCUAUCGACAGAUUCUGCAUUACGUAUGUAUAUGAGUGCUUGUCAUGAAUGUCGUGUUUUUAAAUGCGGAAAGAGAAUUUUAGAGACGAGUGGUCAAUGAUAAUGAUCUAAUGAUCGAAGGGAAGUGAUAAUGGAGAGAAUUGUUGUCGGUGAUCUUGCGAAUUAUAAGAAGAAUGACUUGGAAAUAUAAUUAGGAUGUUGUGAAGAACUGCUGUUGUAGUACUAUCGUUGUUUGUUUACGUAUGUCUACGAGAAUUCAAUCUUUUUUUGGGCGGUUCACUGGAAACAUCGAUUCUCUUUGAGGAAAGUGUCAGCGAUUAAACUGACCUGUGUAAAAGGCAGAGGCUCCGAGGUUGCGCCGCAAGCUCCGCAAACGCUUUGCUCGACCAACGUCAUGGCGAACU